UUUUGAAAAUAACUUCUAUUUUUUCUCCUCAGCUGUGCAUGAAGGUAUUUGCCAAAAAUGAAAAGGAUAUUGUGGCAUUUUUCAAGUAUCUCUUUUCUUCAUCCUUCCUGUUUGUCUAAAGGAUAAAAUAAACCACCCAACAGACUAGAAUACGUUUUGGAGAGGCUGUGCAUGUGAAGGCAUGGAAGCCAAGCCUUCAGGAGUGUAGAGUGUGCAACUCCAGCUCCACAGGGAGAGGUGGAAUAUAGAAAAGGUUGUAUGCUGAAAGUUGCCAAUCUGCCAUAUCCAAAGAAAAUGCCCUAGGAAUCCACCAAUUAGCAUUAAGCUCUGCUACCGUACUUUCUUGCAGCUUUUAAACUUUAAGUAGAAAAGCUGAAGAAAACAAUGCCUUGGAUAUUCAAGAGAAGACGAUUGAGAACUCCAGAAGCCUCAACGAGCCAACUGGACCAUUGUCAAUGCUGUGAAAUGCAUCAGUGCCCUCAGAGAAACGCAUAGCCUGCUUGAUGUGCUUUUCUGUCAACAGGGGGAAGAAAAUGUAAAUUGUAAAUGUCCAAACUGUCUCGGUUCAGAAAGUAGGCAGAGAAGACUCAGACUGAGUUAUCUUUCCUCUGCUAAACUGUAUCACCUUGCUGUUGCCAUGGUGUGAGGCUUGUGACUAAGGUUCUCCUGUAUCCCAAGUACUGUCUAUAAUCUUAAGCCUUCUAGAACAGCAUCUGAAGACAAGUAAUAGUGGGUUCCGUGGCGAUACAAUCUUAGAGUCAAUAGGGCUGCUGCACUCAAGAGUCUAGCCUGGCAGGGAGCACAUGUUUGCACAUAUACAAAUAUGCACAUAUAAAAAUACACAAAUAUUUUAUACACACAAUAUGUUUGCAUAGUUCCUUAAAUAUCUAUACACAAAAGACUAACCCAAUUUUAAGAGAAUGAUUUGGUAUUACUUGUGAAACUUUAUAAUAUUUAAUUCUUAUGACCAGAGCAUCUCUUCUCUUUCUGAUAAUAUAAAUCCUGUAAGACCUAUUUCUAUCCCCAGUAUAGUUUCAGAACAGCUGGGCAAUAUUCCCCAUCUAACAACUCUUCAUGUUUGACUCUCACUAAAGACCCUCAUGUUCAUUUUUCCUCGGACAAAAUGACUCCAAGUCCAUAAUUUCUCAGAUACUGUAUUUUCUAAGACUGAAAUUAUUUUGAAAAUCCCACUGAGACCCAUCCACAUUGUAUGCACUCCCUUAUGUUUUCUCUCACAAACUACCACCCACACGAGUGAUCUUUUCUGUUCUUAGUUGUGCGACAAAGUGCACGCUGACUUGGCUUCUAUAUAAAAUAGGGAUGACUUUCACUCUAAAACUAUUCACAACAUUCCUAAAUCUGUGUCACAAAGCUGGGGAAUAAACCUCAAAUAAUGAUAACUGAAAAUAAAAAUGAUCUCAAUUGGACCUGGGCAGCUAAGAGCCUACCCGCUCUUCUAGAAGAACUGGAUUGGGUCCCAGCACCCACACAGUGGCUCACAACCAUCUGUAUCUCCAAUACCAUAGGAUCUGAUACCCUCUUCUAGCCAUCAGGCAUGCCUGUGGUGCAUAAACAUAUGCAGACAAAACUCCCACACACAAUUAAAAUGAUAGUUGACUGAUAUAUUGUACAUUCACAUUACAAACUUCCACCAUCUCAUUCUAGAUGGACCAGGACAUCUUAAAACAGUUUACAUUAAAUCGGCUUUUCUCUUAUAUGUGGCUAUCAUUGCUAAUCUUAUCUCAUGAAUUGUUACAUUGUAUCACAGGAAAUCCAUCUGCUAUCUCAUUCUUCUGGGUACUUAUUUUCAGCCUUUUCUGGAAGAGGAAACUGAAUAAAAGUAAUAAACAGACUCCCAGUACUGUGUGGGAAAUACGAAAGGCUAUUUAUUGAUUACAUUUGCUGAUCUAAACCUGAGAAAAGGGAUGCUUAUAUCCUGAGCAAUUACUGUAAUGGGAAAAUGAGGAAGCCAUCCUCCAGAAGAACAUUCAGGAGAACAGCAAAGCCAAGAGGAAGGUAUGCAAUUCACUUAACCCACAUAACUUCUCCAUGGAAUCUACAUGAGAAAAAAAAAAUCACCUAAAGCUGGGAUUACUGUCUAUCACUCUCAACCCUCUUCUGGAAGGAACAGUCAGAGCCUGAGGUGAGGUCUCUCCAGAUCUCAGACCUAUGGUCAACGGCAUGUAUCCAAAUCCUUGAUGCCGAGGAUGCCUGCUUCCAACAGAUGUUCGUGCUCCAUCAGUACCACCCCCACAGAAUACAUCCAAGGCUUUGCUGUAGAAAGUGACUUCAGUUAGGGCAGACUACAUAAAAUACAUUCAAAGGAGGCCAAGGAAGUUCCAGCUGCAGCUGGGUUUCCUCCUCUUUUUACCAAGAUUGAUCAUCUUCCUUUUCAUCCACAGUAGCUGCCGAUUACUGUUCCUGUUUUCCAGAAACUUAAAAUAAUCUUUAUAUCAUUUUGACAGUUUGCUUAUUUUUCUCCAAAAGUGAACUUGAAGUUAUUUCAUAAUCACCCAAAGAAUUAACCAUUUUUCAUACAUUACACUAAAACAAUUGUGUAAAAUUACCCAAGCAAUUAAGCCAGAAGGAAUUAUGCUAAAACAUUAACACUAAUCGCCUCUACAGAAUGCACUGUAAGUGGUCACUUGCUUUCAUUAAAUUGCCUAUAUUUUCCAUAUUUUUAAUAAUGAAAAUCUGUUUUUCCUAUGAGGAAAAACUCAUAAUCUUCCACACUAUUAUUUUGCUAGCCACCAAUGAUUAGAAUUUAAGUUUGAAAAAGCUGUUCCAUUAACUCCAGAUUUGGAAAACAGGUAGAGGAAUACAUUUUAGUAUUCUUUAUUGAGAAAUGUACUAUAAUAUUACACCCACCUUGUAGUUCACCUAUUCCCUUACCCGUUUUUAUUCUUUUCCCA